AGUGAACGCUGGCGGUAGGCCUAACACAUGCAAGUCGAACGGCAGCACAGUAAGAGCUUGCUCUUACGGGUGGCGAGUGGCGGACGGGUGAGGAAUACAUCGGAAUCUACUUUUUCGUGGGGGAUAACGUAGGGAAACUUACGCUAAUACCGCAUAUGACCUACGGGUGAAAGCAGGGGAUCUUCGGACCUUGCGCGAUUGAAUGAGCCGAUGUCGGAUUAGCUAGUUGGCGGGGUAAAGGCCCACCAAGGCGACGAUCCGUAGCUGGUCUGAGAGGAUGAUCAGCCACACUGGAACUGAGACACGGUCCAGACUCCUACGGGAGGCAGCAGUGGGGAAUAUUGGACAAUGGGCGAAAGCCUGAUCCAGCCAUACCGCGUGGGUGAAGAAGGCCUUCGGGUUGUAAAACCAUUUUGUUGGGAAAGAAAAGCAGCAGGUUAAUACCCCGCUGUUCUGACGGUACCCAAAGAAUAAGCACCGGCUAACUUCGUG
rnacentral:rRNA from 1 species